rnacentral:lncRNA from 1 species
CGUUCCGGAGCCGCCAUGUCGUCCGACUUCGAAGGUUACGAGCAGGACUUCGCGGUGCUCACUGCAGAGAUCACCAGCAAGAUUGCGAGGGUCCCACGACUCCCGCCUGACUGUCAACUAUGUGAAGGUGGGAGCUGUGUCUGAUUUCCUUGGCGUUUACUUAUUAGGGGCUCAGGAAAAUAAGUGAAUGAGCAGGGAUAUUUGCUUGAAGCCAGGAUCUCUGAACUUAUACCCCACUCAUCUCCUGAAGUCCCCAGUUAGUUCUGGAGGAGAUGGAUGAUGUCUUAAAGAGGUUUAUGAGUCCAAGUAAGGGAACAAGAGGAGAGAACCAAGGUAGUAUAUACCACCAAGCUCUGCUGCCUCAGAGAUUUUUGUGUCGAAAGUGGCUGAUGGCCUCAUCUCUUCAUGAUACAUCACCUCGCCUCUUCUCUUCAGUUCUGCUUUUCUCCACUGCCGGAGAUCGUCUUGAUUUUUGUUAUUGUUGGAGACUACUUCCUUUGAAUUGAGUCCCAGAGCCUCAGAGUAUCAGGACUUGUGGUUCCAGUUAGAGUUUUACUCAUUUUUAAUUGUAAUUGUUUUAGCAGUAGAAACAUUUCUUUGGGUUAUUAGUUUUUGUAUUGGGAAGCUGUUUUACAAGGUAACAAAAUCAUCCUUGGAUGCAAAGUUGUAAAUUUCCAAGAAAACAGAUCGUGUUACAAUUUUUUUCUUGCCUUUAUAUUUUAAUGUGACAAUUCUUAACACAUAGAAGGAAACUUUUUGAAUUCAGUACCUUAAAAAUAAAACUGGGCAGAGCCCGGUGGCUCAUGCCUAUAAUCCCAAAACUUUGGGAGGCCGAGGCAGACGGAUCACCUGAGGUCGGGAGUUUGAGACCAGCCUGGCCAACAUGGAGAAACCCUGUCUCUACUAAAAAUACAAAACUAGCUGGGCGUGGUGGCACAUGCCUGUAACUCCAGCUGCUCAGGAGGCUGAGGCAGGAGAAUCGCUUGAACCUGGGAGGUGGAGGUUGCGAUGAGCUGAGAUUGCGCCAUUGCACUCCAGCCUGGGCGACAAGAGCGAAACUGUCUCAAUAAAUAAAUAAAUUAAAAAAAAACUAUGUCUUUCCUUAGCUGUAGUAUUAUAUAAGGCCCAAACACAGGAGCUUCAUUACAAUUGAAAGGAGACUGCAUUGCUGGCUCUGGAAGAAUGCUUACUGACUUGUAUUAUUGAAUAAUCAUAAUUCUUUUUUCUUUAUGAGAUGGGGUCUUGCUGUAUCGCCCACGUUGGAGUGUAAUGGCGCAAUCUCAGCUCAUUGCAACCUCUCCCUCACGGCUCAAGUCUACUCCCACCUCAGCCUCCCGAGUAGCUGGGACUACUCAAGCCACUGUGCCCGGCUGAUUUUUUUUUUUUGUAGAGAUGGGGUUUUGCCAUGUUGCCCAGGCUUGUCUCAAACUCCUGGGCUCACGCAAUCCACCCACUUGGGCCUCCCAAAGUGCUGGGAUUACAGGCGUGAGCCACCGCACCUGGCCUGAUCAUAAUUCUUAAAAACGCAGUAGUUGCCCUCUUAAUAAUGACUUGUGCUUGCCCCUUUUUAAAUCUAUUUCCAAUUGAUGUAUAGAAAAAGAUGAAAAAUAUAUCCAUGUAGUUAUGAAUUUCAGAUGUAUGUCUGUAGAUGAACAGACAUUAAUAUAUAUAACCAUGGCAAAAAUAGUUUGAUGACAAGUAAUUAUAAUCUCUCUCUCUGGCCAUCAUUGGCGAGUGCAGUGUUGAGCUAAAAGUGACCCAGAGGAGGUGAACUAUAAUUUACUUGAGUUAAGAAGGAUAAAAAUUGGAGCAAACUUUCCAGCCAAAGCAGUUAAUUCCCCCAACAUAGUAACUUACUUAAAUUCAAGUAGAGUGGGUAGAUCUAUUGAAAUGAACUUUACUCUGCUGUGCAUGUUACAAUGUAUUAAAGUAUUGCUUCCAAAGAGAACAGAAGAGUGAACAUUUAAAAAUUUUAUUUUAAGAAAGAAAUCUGAUUACUCUGUGAUAUUUUUUAAACAAUAAAG